GGGCGGUUAUAUUCAGCGGUAGAAGGCUUCCUUCACACGGAAGAGGUCACUGGUUCGAUCCCAGUACCGCCCACCA
rnacentral:tRNA from 2 species